AGCUCCGCGUGCUCAGCGUCAGCGGCGCUCAGCUGCGACGCCAGCUGCUCACGCUCAGCCACCAGCGAUGCCAGCCGGCUGUCCACGUCAGCCUUGGAGGUGCCAGCCGCCUCCAGCUCCGAGCGCAGCAUGAGGCUGGACACGUCGGCGGCCUCGAGGCGGCUCUCCAGCUCGGCCUGGGCGGCCUCGGCAGCGGCAAGCUGCGAGUUGAGGCUGUCACGCUCAGCUGCCACGGCUGCCACGCGGGACUCCAGGUCUGCGUUGGAGGUACCGGCCGUCUCCAGCUCAGACUCAAGCUGCUUGCGGCUAGCCUCCACCGCGUCCAGGCGAGUCAACAGCUCAGCGUGCGCGUCCUUCCGGACUGCAAGCUCCGCGGCCGUGGACUUCUGCUCCUCGGUCGCCUCCUGCAGACGUUGCGUCAGCGCCUCCUCGCUGGCCUUGGCAGCGCUCAGCUGUGCGUCGCCCUCCGCGCGCGCGGACUCCGCAGCCUCCAGGCGAGACUGCAGGUCAUCACGAGACGCCUCCGCCGCCGCCACCUGGGCCAACAGCGCCGCACGCAUGGUCUCCGCCUCCGCCGCUGCGGUCUUGAGCUCCGCUGCGGAGGACUCCCGCAGCUCAACCAAUGCCUUUUCGGCCGCUUCCGAUGCCGCACGGGCCGCCGCCAGCUGCUCCCGGGCUUCCGCCAGUUGCGAAUCAAGCAUGCUAUUGAGAGCAGAUGCACGCGAGGCCGCAGCCUCAGUGGCGGCUUGCGCAGCAGCCAGCUUAGCCUCAAGGGCAGCAACGUGGCCUGCAGCUUGCUUCACCACCUCGUGACGCUCUGCCUGCGCUGUCGCCAGCUGCUGUUCCAGCUGCGCCACGUGCGUUUGCGACUGGUCGCUUUGCUCCGCCAGCUCCCGCCGCGCGCUGGCCAGGGCGGCCUCAAGGACGGCCGUCUGCGCCACGCUCCGCUCGGCCUGGACCGUUGUUCCUGUGCGCACUGCCGCCAGCUGCGACUCCAGCAAGUCAACGUGCGCAGUGAAGGUCUCAGACAGCUGCUCCUUCUCAGCACGUGCGUUAGCCAGCUGGUACUCUAGCGUCUCAAUGUCCGCAGCUGCACACUUGGCCGCGUCAGCAGCCUGAGCGCGCUCACUGGCAAGCCGGGCCUCAGCCGCUGCAAGCGCAGCGGAUGCCGCCGCAAGGGCGGCAUCCAACUCAGCGCUCUUCGCCGUCGCAGCAGACAGCUGCUGACGGGCCUGCUCGCCAGCCUCCUCCGCGGCGCCGAGCUGCUUCUGCAGCUGCUCACGAGCUGCCUGCGAAGAUGACAGCUCCUCCUGCAGGCGACGGACCUCCGCGGCAGAGCCAGCAAGGGACGCUGUGAGCUCCACAACGGACGCAUCGAAAGCCGCAAGCUUCGACUCCGCCUCUGCCUUCGCAGACUCCACGGCAGCCAGCUCCGCCGACAGCGAGUCGCGCUCAGCCGAAACCGACGCCAGGCGAGACUGCACCUCGGCCUUCUCCGAAGCGGCAGACGCCAGCUGCGACUCAAGCUCGGCACGAGCGACGUCUGCAGCCUGCACACGGCCCUCCAGCUCCGCGCGCUCAGCGUCAGCGGCGCCCAGCUGCGACGCCAGCUGCUCACGCUCAGCCACCAGCGACACCAGCCGGCUGUCCACGUCAGCCUUGGAGGUGCCAGCCGCCUCCAGCUCCGAUCGCAGCUUGAGGCUGGACACGUCGGAAGCCUCGAGGCGGCUCUCCAGCUCGGCCUUGGCGGCCUCGGCAGCGGCAAGCUGCGAGUUGAGGCUGUCGCGCUCAGCGGACACGGCCGCCACGCGGGACUCCAGGUCUGCGUUAGAGCUACCGGCCGUCUCCAGCUCAGACUCAAGCUGCUUACGGCUAGCCUCCACCGCGUCCAGGCGAGCCAACAGCUCAGUGUGCGCGUCCUCCCUGACUGCAAGCUCCGCGGCUAUGGACUUCUGCUCCUUGGUCGCCUCCUGCAGACGUUGCGUCAGCGCCUCCUCGCUGGCCUUGGCAGCGCUCAGCUGUGCGUCGCCCUCGGCGCGCGCGGACUCCGCAGCCUCCAGGCGAGACUGCAGGUCAUCACGAGACACCUCCGCCGCCGCCACCUGGGCCAGCAGCGCCGCACGCAUGGCCUCCGCCUCCGCCGCUGCGGUCUUGAGCUCCGCUGCGGAGGACUCCCGCAGCUCAGCCAGUGCCUUGUCAGCCGCCUCCGCCGCCGCGUGGGCCGCCGCCAGCUGCUUGUUAGCGGCCGAAAGCUGCGAAUCCAACGCGUCAACGACUGCAGAGGAGCGGGAAGCUGCUGCUGCGGUCGUGGCAAGAGCGGCGGCCAGCUUGACCUCCAGCUCCGCGACAUGGCUAGCCGCGCGCUGGACCGCCUCAUCACGCUCCGCCUGAGCAGCCGCCAGACGGCCUUCUAGAAUGGCAACCUCGGAUGCCGAGCGGUCUUGGUGGUGGCUCGUCUCGGACCGCGCAGCGGCCAGCGAGACCUCGAGCGCGGCGAUGGACGCAGCGGCACUCUCGGAGGCCUUGGCGUGCGCGGAGCGAGCCGCAGCAAGCUCCGACUCCAGAGACUCCACAUGAGCGGUGAAGGUCUCGGAUGACUGCGCGUUCUCUGCCUGGGCUGCUGCCAGCUGUGCCUCCAGAGACUCAAUUUGUGACGCAGCCAGCUUGCUGGCCUGCUCUGCCGCGGUCUUGGCCUGUGCCAGCUGUGCUUCUGACACCGCCAGGCGCUCCUGCAGCUGCUCACCAACCUCCUCCGCGGCCCCGAGCUGCUUCUGCAGCUGCUCACGAGCCGCCUGCGAAGAUGACAGCUCCUCCUGCAGGCGACGGACCUCCGCAGCAGAGCCAGCAAGGGACGCUGUGAGCUCCACAACGGACGCAUCGAAAGCCGCAAGCUUCGACUCCGCCUCUGCCUUCGCAGACUCCACGGCAGCCAGCUCCGCCGACAGCGAGUCGCGCUCAGCCGAAACCGACGCCAGGCGAGACUGCACCUCGGCCUUCUCCGAAGCGGCAGACGCCAGCUGCGACUCAAGCUCGGCACGAGCGACGUCUGCAGCCUGCACACGGCCCUCCAGCUCCGCGCGCUCAGCGUCAGCGGCGCUCAGCUGCGACGCCAGCUGCUCACGCUCAGCCACCAGCGACACCAGCCGGCUGUCCACGUCGGCCUUGGAGGUGCCAGCCGCCUCCAGCUCCGAUCGCAGCUUGAGGCUGGACACGUCGGCGGCCUCGAGGCGGCUCUCCAGCUCGGCCUUGGCGGCCUCGGCAGCGACAAGCUUUGAGUUGAGGCUGUCACGCUCAGCUGACACAGCUGCCACGCGGGACUCCAGGUCUGCGUUGGAGGUACCGGCCGCCUCCAGCUCAGACUCAAGCUCGGCACGAGCGGAGUCCGCAGCCGCCAGGCGGGUGGCGAUGUCGGCCUUUGCCUUCUCCGCUGCCGCAAGCUUAGCGGCCGUGGACUUCUGC
rnacentral:lncRNA from 1 species